UUUUGAAGCUGUCAUGAAAAUAAAGCCAUUCUUGAAUAUGUCUGAGGAUAAACAUAUUUCCAACUCAAUCCUGUCUUUAUUUUUGUUUUGUUUCUUGAAUCAGAAAGCCCUUAUAUUGCUAUUUAUAUCCUAAGACAAAAAUAGUGCUUUAGAAAUGAACCUUUUUUGAUGCAAAACUCUGAGGUAAAUAUUAUAUGAAGCAAAGAACACAAAGAACAGCACUAGCAGGAAAUGAUCCAGCCAUGCGUUUGCUCAUUCUAUAAGCACAUGCGAUAUGCGUGUGUCUAAGUGUUUUCAGGCACUAAAAUGGAACUAUUUGUGACAGUGCACAUGUCAUUAUGCAUGUGCUCACCGUUACACCUGGCUCUUUUCCAAACUGCUUAUUAAAGACCAAUAUAGGAAUUCAAUAUAUUGCAUGCCUAAUUUGACUGAUAAUACUGACCUACCAAUAUAUCAGUCGGGCUCUACCUGUGGACAGAAUUCAUUCAGUAAUUUUCUGUAUUGACAGUCCUGUAUAAUUUCAAGUGCUAGAAGUUUUAACUAAUAUUGCUGCACAAGUAUUCUUCAGAAAAGGACCAAAAGAUGCUUUAAAGAAAUAGUUCAGCAAUAAAUAAUAAAUAUUACUUAAAAUGUACUCACCCUCAGGCCAUCCAAAAUGCACAUGAGUUUGUUUCUUCAUUGUUUUGGAGAAAUUUAACAUUGCAUUACCUGCUCAACAGUGGAUCCUCCACAGUGAAUGGGUGCAGUCAAUAUUAUAGUCCAAACAGCCGAUAAAAAUGUCACAUUAAUUUGCAAGUAAAAAUAUUGAAAGUUUAAAACGCCUUAAUGGUGAAUUUGUUUCUCACAGACACACAGCGUUUUGCUUCACAGAACGUUAACUGAUGGACUGGAGUCAUGUGGAUUACUUUUGAAUCAUAAUGAUGUUUUUACUCUCAUUCUGAUGGCACCCAUUUACUACAGAGGAUCCACUGGUGAGCAAGUGAUGUAAUGCAAAAUUUCUCCAAAUCUGUUCUGAUAAAGAAACAAACAUGUCUACUGUAUAUCUUUGAUGGCCUGAGGCCUGAUUACGCCUAUUCCUUAAAAACAUAUCACCCAGAACCACUAUAAGAGGAAAAAGAGCUACAUACAGAGAUCUAAAUAUAUAUGGCUCCAUAUAAUGAGGAUGUGGCAUUAGCUAUGCCACCAUAAAGGGCAAAAAAGCACACCAUCCAUUAAUGGUGUGGAAAAGCACAUGGCCUUUAAUCAACCACAAAGUAAAAGAGGUGGAUGUUGAACAUUCUCAGAGACUUCGACUGGAGGCCAGUCUGAUUAUAACAGUGAAAAUCAAGAAAUAAUAAUAAUAAUUAAAAAAAAAAAAAAGAAGAACCUUUAUACAGUAUAUAUUUUUUUCCUCCACAGUCCUUCAAAAAACAUCCUGACCUUUUAUGUUUUUUUUUUUUGCCCAUUGCUGCCCCCUGUGGUCAGUUAUGGUCAUUGCAUGGUCAGCCAGAUCCAGCAGGCCCAAACGAUCUGUUUGAACUGAAGCAGGUACACAGCCAGUGCUGUCUGCAGCUCUUCGCAGGCACGCUGGGGUCUUCGGCGGUCCGUGCAGUACAGUGCUACACCCAGCGCAGACAGAAGCAGGAACAGGCAGGUGAGCAGGGCUAGGUGCAACCGGCUCUGGGGGGUGUCGUAGACUGGAACACAAAAUCCAAAAAGAUUUGGCUUAAAAUACUAAACUAGUUUGCUGCGCAACAGUCUAAAACAGAGCCACAUGACAUGCAGACAAACAUAUAUGGCCACAAAUUAAGAAUAAGUUUGUUU
ensembl:lncRNA